UACGUAGGGGGCAAGCGUUGUCCGGAUUUAUUGGGCGUAAAGAGCGUGUAGGCGGCCUGAAAGGUCAGCUGUGAAAACUCGAGGCUCAACCUCGAGACGUCGGUUGAAACCAUCUGGCUAGAGUCCGGAAGAGGAGAGUGGAAUUCCCGGUGUAGCGGUGAAAUGCGCAGAUAUCGGGAAGAACACCCGUGGCGAAGGCGGCUCUCUGGGACGGUACCGACGCUGAGACGCGAAAGCGUGGGGAGCGAACAGG
rnacentral:rRNA from 1 species